CUCUGAACUGCUUUCGCGUCACUUCUGGAUAAUUUCUCGGUCCCGUCAACCGUCCUCCCAGCCAUUGGUUUUAAAUUACAUAUGUGUCAAGCCAUGAACAUCUACGUCUCGUCAACCAUCUCGUCAACUAUAUCGUCAGAAUUAGCGUAAAGCCAUGAUCGUCUAGAUUAUCCCUCCGCCUCGUCGUCUAUCUCGUCCAACUUUUCUACAGCAACUAUCACUACCGCUGUGGCAUACAUUUUAUAUAGGUCAGAGUUCUCGUGUCUGCACUGAAAACACACCCGCACACAACGAAGCAUGUCGUAGAAAGUGUUGGGAUGGCAACAGCAACGGGGGUAGUUGCUUGAGGGGAGAAUGUAUAUGCACGUAGACACACGUUGCCUUGCCCUUUCUUAUAUUGCAAAU